AGAGGGAAAGGGCGGUGUCGAGCCGGCUGCUGGGGGGGGCGGGGGCGCAAGCGUUACCAUAGCAACCCUGCUGCAGAGUCUGUGAGAGGCUCUUGGCCUCUACCUGGUCUGUGGAAAAUCAAACUCUGGGCACAAGUCAUGAAGCCAGCACGUUGGGGAGACACCGUGUCACAAUGACAAGGAGGUGCCGGGGGUAAUGGUGACAGCCUGGAGCACACUCCGGAGGCAGGUGGUGCAGAUGGAGAGCCCUCAUCCCUCUAUGCAUGUAGAAGAAUACCUUACACUUGAAGUCAUUCUGAAAAUACUGUGACUCAAAGAGGUCCAGAGAUGCCAAGAAGCUCACAGUGAGGAGCAUCACUAAGUGGACAAGGGCCAGGUGACAGGUGAUGAGAUUUCUAUGAAGAAACAGAUACCCUGCAAACCUGUUGGAAGGAACCAUAUUAGGUUUUCUUGGCCACUACCUGUGCUGCUAAGUUGAAGGGCAAUGUCUUUUAGGAUAUUUGGUCACCCCUCUAUUUAUACACAGCUCCGAAGAAACCCAGCACUGGACAAAUUCUCUCAAACUUUUCCCCAAGCUUGGCCACCAAUCUGUUUUAGAUGAAGACUCCAUUUGGAGGAAAUCUGCUAAUUAUCUGCCUGGCUUUCAGGAAAACAGCUUUAUGCAUUUUACUGGAAAAAUGCUUUUGCCUUGGUAGCAUUCCCAAAACCAAGUCCUGCGACUCUGUCUGAAAUCAUGCUAAAACAGAACAGAACUCAGAAUCUUACUACGCUCACUCUGCAAAAUAAAAGCAGUACCUGAGAA